GGCCCUUGGAGAGCAGAUGGGGGUGGAGGAGAAUGAUGCAGGAGUCUUCAUUGAAACUUUCAAAGCUAAAUACCCAGAAAUGCGCGCCUACCUCCGUAAGACUGUAGACCAGUGUCGCAGACAGGGCUAUGUUCAGACCAUGACCGGGCGCAAGCGAUACCAGCCGGUCAUCAACAGUCCCAACCCUCAUGCCCGCGCGCAGGCUGAGAGGCAGGCUGUGACCACGACAGUGCAGGGAUCAGCAGCCGACCUUGUCAAGAGGGCCAUGGUCAGCAUAGAUAAGAGUCUGGAAGAGAUGUUCCCGAACACUCAGUACACCCAUAGACAUAAAUAAGCUAGUAAGCACCCUUCCCGUGGCAAGGUCCCACCGGACGGAGCCUACCUGGUGUUACAGCUUCAUGACGAGCUUAUAUACGAGGUGACCUCUGCCCAUGUGCAGGCCGUGGCUCAGGUGGUCAAACGUUGCAUGGAGCACGCCGUGGAGCUGCCUGUGAGGAUGCCGGUCAAGCUACAGACUGGGCCCAGCUGGGGGACACUGAAGGAACUUGAUGUGUGAAUAGGAUGUUAGCUUGGGGACACUGCAGGAACUCGAUUUGUGAAUGGGAUUGUAGCUUGGGGACACUUAAGGAACUUGAUUUGUGAAUGGGAUUGUAGCUCGGGGACACUUAAGGAACUUGAUUUGUGAAUGGGAUUGUAGCUGGGGGACACUGCAGGAACUCGUUGUGUGAAUGGGAUUGUAGCUGGGGGACACUGAAGAAACUUGAUGUGUGAAUAUGAUUGUAGCUGAGGGGACACUGCAGGAACUUGAUGUGUGAAUAUGAUUGUAGCUGUGGGACACUACUACAUGUAGAACUUGGUAUGUGAAUGGGAUUGUAGCUGGGGGACACCGCAUGAACUUGGUGUGUGAAUAGGAUUGUAGCUGAGGGACUUUGCAGGAACUUGAUGUGUGAAUAGGAUUGUAGUGGGGGACACUACUAGAACUUGGUGUGUGAAUGGGAUUGUAGCUGAGUGACUUUGCAGGAACUUGAUGUGUGAAUAGGAUGGACGCUUUCUGGGAAAACUGUUCUUAAUGCAUGUUUGUAAAGUGUCGUCUCAGAGAAGACUGUGUGGACUGCACAGGCUAAUCAGAGAGAAAACCUUUUGCCUUAACUGGACUUUAACAAAUAAGAUAUUUCCUUUAAAAGAAAAAUAACAUCAAGCGGAAAUUGCCCAAUAUGACUUGUGCAUUAUUAGGUGUUUUAAAAACUAAUGUGUUGUUCUUAUAAUAGUUUAAAUUGUUAUCAUGUACUAUACUAUACAGGGCAUAAACAUGUUUAUGU